CUGGGGAUGGGAUGGGCGAAGCCUGAUCCAGCCAUUCCGCGUGAGUGAAGAAGGCCUUCGGGUUGUAAAGCUCUUUCGCAAGGGAAGAAACGAUGCAGUCGAAUAAACUGUGUUAAUGACGGUACCUUGAUAAGAAGCACCGGCUAACUACGUGCCAGCAGCCGCGGUAAU
rnacentral:rRNA from 1 species